rnacentral:rRNA from 1 species
CCCUGAUGUGGGGGAUAACCAUUGGAAACGAUGGCUAAUACCGCAUGAUAGCUUCGGCUCAAAGAGGGGGACCUUCGGGCCUCUCGCGUCAGGAUAUGCCCAGGUGGGAUUAGCUAGUUGGUGAGGUAAGGGCUCACCAAGGCGACGAUCCCUAGCUGGUCUGAGAGGAUGAUCAGCCACACUGGAACUGAGACACGGUCCAGACUCCUACGGGAGGCAGCAGUGGGGAAUAUUGCACAAUGGGCGCAAGCCUGAUGCAGCCAUGCCGCGUGUAUGAAGAAGGCCUUCGGGUUGUAAAGUACUUUCAGCAGAGGAAGGAGGUAUCGUUAAUAGCGGUAUCUUUUGACGUUAGCUGCAGAAGAAGCACCGGCUAACACCGUGCCAGCAGCCGCGGUAAUACGGAGGGUGCGAGCGUUAAUCGGAAUUACUGGGCGUAAAGCGCAUGCAGGUGGUUUGUUAAGUCAGAUGUGAAAGCCCGGGGCUCAACCUCGGAAUUGCAUUUGAAACUGGCAGGCUAGAGUACUGUAGAGGGGGGUAGAAUUUCAGGUGUAGCGUUGAAAUGCGUAGAGAUCUGAAGGAAUACCGGUGGCGAAGGCGGCCCCCUGGUC